rnacentral:SRP_RNA from 1 species
CCGUACUAGACGGGGAGGUAGCGGUGCCCUGUACCCGCAAUCCGCUGUAGCGGGGUCGAAUUCCUGUUUGCGGCUAUACGUUUGUCGAGGUCUGGUUCGAAUAAGUGGUGUUGACAGUCGGGUCCUGCGCAACGGAAUUUCAUGAACCCCGUCAGGUCCGGAAGGAAGCAGCGGUAAGUGAAUCCUUUCGUGUGCCGCAGGGUGGCCCGAUUCGAGCUAACUGUUCGGAUACGCUCGGUGAGCGUUAGUCAAGGGCGGGUGUACG